AUCUAUGAAGCAAGCAUUGUUUUUCGUGAUUGAAGAAUAUAGACGACUUUUAUGGAGAGAUAACAUUUUGAAAUAUAGGAUCGGCAUUUGAUUUCCGAGUACAGCUUUUUCUUUUCUAUUUCAUUUGGUAUGAAAUGGUUCACUCUUCUUAAUUUCUUACAAAAUAUAUGCAAUGCAUAAAGUAGAAGUUGACAAGUUUCUUUAAA
rnacentral:misc_RNA from 1 species